CCUACGGGAGGCAGCAGUGGGGAAUCUUGCGCAAUGGGCGAAAGCCUGACGCAGCAACGCCGCGUGCGGGAUGAAGGCCUUCGGGCUGUAAACCGCUUUCAGCAGGAACGAAAAUGACGGUACCUGCAGAAGAAGGAGCGGCCAACUACGUGCCAGCAGCCGCGGUGACACGUAGGCUCCAAGCGUUGUCCGGAUUUAUUGGGCGUAAAGAGCUCGUAGGCGGUCUAGUAAGUCGGGUGUGAAAACUCUGGGCUCAACCCAGAGACGCCAUCCGAUACUGCUAUGACUUGAGUUCAGGAGGGGAGCGGGGAAUUCCUAGUGUAGCGGUGAAAUGCGCAGAUAUUAGGAGGAACACCGGUGGCGAAGGCGCCGCUCUGGACUGAAACUGACGCUGAGGAGCGAAAGCAUGGGUAGCAAACAGGAUUAGAUACCCUGGUAGUCCAUGCCGUAAACGGUGGGCACUAGGUGUGGGUUUCAACUAACGAAAUCCGCGCCGUCGCUAACGCAUUAAGUGCCCCGCCUGGGGAGUACGGUCGCAAGACUAAAACUCAAGGAAUUGACGG
rnacentral:rRNA from 1 species